CACCAUUAUAGCUGGCCAGUGGAAAAUGACCCACACUGAAAACAUGCUUCUGCUCAGAAAGGUAAAGGAAGGCACGUGGUGCCCAUUGCCUCUUUGCAGGAAUAGCCAGCAUUGCCUUCCAGAGCCAUUUGCAUGCAUUCUGCUUCCUGAACGAUAUUUGUAGAAAAAUCAUUUCAGUGCUGAAUGUGACAGUAGUUCACAGUUCUGCAUUUGUAGAGGGAAAAUAUAUUCACACAGCUUCACGAAUAUAAUAAUGAGUUGAUAUUUUUGUUUGCUUUUGUAGUUAUGCCAUAUUUAUAUGUACGUUACCUCAGGUGGAAUCGGUUACGUCGCAACAACACUCUAACUGUGCUACAGACAGGAGAGCUCCUACAAGCACAUGAAAAACUGCCAGGUACUCGUUGUUCCAGGAGGGAGCAGCCAGACAAAAGAUGGGAAAAGGGAGAAAAUGUCCUGUGAGCACUCAAGACUGGGAACCAGCAGACCUCAAUAGAAAAGCAGACGAGUUCGUAACCCUGGGAAGACGGAAAGAUUGCGUUUGUGGGAACAUGACUUGAAUGCUUUGGCAUUCCCUUGUUUUGUUUUUCACAUUUAUUUGGGUGUGGUUCUUAGUACUUGCUGGAACAUGAAGGUUUUGACAGCUUCUUGUGUUGUCCUUUUAUUACGUUAACAUUUAUUUUUGCUAUUAGAAUUGAAUCACCAGGUGAAAUUGGGUGAGCUAGGGACAUACAAGGCAACUUCCGUUUUCUUCUUUUGAUUGCCAUGCACUCCUUUUUAUAAAUGGGUGAGGAUCAACAGGUUUAGUAGGUCUACAAAGCAGAGCUGGAUGUGAGUAACAGAGUAACAGCCCUUACUUAUUAAUCUAACUAAAAGUUCCAUUAAAAAUGAGAGGGAGAAAUGGCAGGGGUUUGUUGUGCAGCCAUGUGGUGCUUCAGAAUGUCACAGAAUUAUGAAGGAGGGAUCUGGAAAGGAAAGAAUAGCAGAGAAAAGUCAAGUCAACAUCCCAUCAGUGCAGUAGAAUGAAACACCUACAGUAGAUGGGUUAACUGAGUUUUGACUUCAGAGGGAGUCUGAUGUUGACAAGUAACAGGGAGGUAGCUUCAACAGUGGUCAGAGCUUGUGCUUUGCUACCACACUCGAAAUAAAUCAUAUGCUGCAGACAGAGCUUGGUUAACAACAGAGCAGCUACAGAUCUGAGAGAGGAAAUAGAGGCUGUAAAUAUCCAGAGUGGUUGACCUUGUGCUAACAAAGUGAUGCUGGGCUAAACGUGCACUGCUGAAAGUAGGUCUAUUAUGGAAUAAGUUCUUGAAUCAUAGAAUCAUAGAAAUAAAGAGUAAGUAUCUGAAAAAAACCCCAUCUGACACAUCCACACAGUGCCAGGAUGGGGCAGGCCCAGUUUGGGAGCCCAACAUCCAGCUCCAACUUUGCUUUUUGUUCUCUUGACAGUAGAGCUGCAGCAGAAUCAAGCCUUCUCUACAGAAAAACAACAACAAAAUUCAAAAUGACAAGAGAAGCCGGUCCAGAGAAAAUGCCAAGAGUGACUGCAGCAAAAGCAAGGACUACGUGCAGCUCCCAGAGAACAUCUGCUCUCAGCCUUGCUGGGGACACCGGGUAAGUUAAGCACUGAGCACCUCCUCUGGGAAAUGGAGCAGAACUAUUUUUAGUACUCCUAAGAGCUAGAUAAGAUUAACAUACAUUUAGAGAGAUUAUCAAGAGUUAAGAGGGGAUGUCAAAACCCCAUGGUGCUCAUUCUCUCUUACAGUCUAGAACGAAUACAUUUUUGAGGUGAAGGAAAGGAAAAAAAAUGGGGAGUGUUUUGUUUGUCUGAAAUAUUUGGAGAUUUAGAAGACCCAAACAUUUAAAUAAUGCUUUGAAGAGGUUACAGCUGCUGCCCAAUGUUUUGUUCUUCCAAAAAAGUCCCCUGCUCAGAGACUCCUGCAAAAAUAUGUCCUCUGAGAACAUGAUGCUUUUGAAAAUAUACAAUUUUGUAAGAAGGUUUAUGUCCCGACUUUUUUGAUCAAAGCAGGUUUGUAGUAAAACAGACCAGACGUUCAUAUUCCCUAAUGGAUACCAUUGCUUGUGACACAGUCCUUUUGUGUAUCUAUUUCUCAGCAGUUCAGGUUUAUUCUCAACCUUAAAUAUUACAGAAAGGAUCCACUGGUGAUUUUCAGCUUUAUUUCUUUGGGCCCUAUGAUGCUUAAGCAGCAGUUUGAACUCUUACCCUCUGUAGCUUUUCCAGGGUGAGGAGAUGCUCUACAGUUUAAGACUGGAAAAGAGCUGUAAGAUCAUCUAGUCCAACUGCUGAACCAUCCUCCCUGUGCCUGCUAACCGUGUCCCUUAGUGCCACAUGUAGUAUAUUAAGAAUGAGAGAGCAAGGUGAGUGGUCUUUUUAUUGUGCACUGUAGAAAAAUGCAACAUGUUGCCAAGGCCCCGAUUUCUGUGCUGAUGUGAAUACCGACUUACACAACCCACACUAGAUUUCAAACUGUAAAUUAGCACAAACUUUUUCCAUUGUGGACAAACCAGAGCAUAUUUUUUGUAGCAACACAAAGAACUUUAUAACUAUGGAAAUCAGCACCAAUAAUUGAAUUGAUAUUUUAAUAAUUACACACUUUUUACAUUAUGAAAAUAAAUCAUAAAUAGUGUAAAAAUAAUUCUGAAGAUCAACUUCUCACAAGCAAGAAACAAAAUCCAAAGUACAAAACUAAAGAAAACGAAACAGCAUACAACUGAAAAACAACAAGGAGAAAUUUUAAUAAUAAAAACAAAAGCAUGCUGUUUGAGCAGGUUCAAUUAAGUCAGGACCAGAGGCCACAAUAAAGUGGUAAUUAACAACAAAUUAAAACGGGUGAUUUAAACCUUGCAAUUCUUUAUGCAACUCAUCAAAAGAGGUCUUGGGACAUAUUUACAGGGCUAAGACACUCCAAGUAUUUAUAGGAUUGAUAAUGUGGUACCGACCAAUGUGUUCCCCCUCCCUCCCCCCUCCAAAGCAGUGUAAUCCUUGCCAAAUUACUUUUCUUCAUAUUUUAUCUCCUCUACUGCAUUUAUGAGACCACUUGCAAUACAAAAAUAACUGCACAUAUAGAUGAACUUAAAAAAGUAAAAAAUACAAAUAAAAAUAUAUAAUAUUUUCCAAAGGAAAAAGUCAGAUACAUACAUCUUUGUAACACUUUUAAAGUUGUGUGAUAUUUUCCCAAACAUGUACAAUAAUAUAAGAAUAUCCACAUAUAUGUUAACAAUAUGUAAAACAUCCUUCCACCAGCCCAGCUCUUCAUAAUACUUCUGAGAAGUGUGCAAGUACCAAUGGUAUCUGGGAAAUUCAUACCAUUCCCUUUUUAAAUAGAAACAAGUAAAACACUAACGGUCCCAGGUUAAGUUAAGGCCCCCUGUUUUCCAAAGAAAAUUCCAUUUCCAACCAGCACUGAUAACUGGAUGCACCUUAAAAAUAGAACAAAAGUAAAACAACACUCCAACUUCUUUUUUUUUUUUUUUUUUUCCUCCAAUGCAAACUCCACUGGUUUCAUGGAGUAUCUUUCUCAAAUUCUAUUAGAAGUGAUGGUGGCAGGCACUUGUUUCCAACAUCAUUUAAUGACUCCAACCACCAUGUAAAAUACUUCAGUUACAGAGGAUGCAAGAAAACCUUCAUUUAUACAUUACAGCAACAUUCAGAUUCAUAAAAGUAAGUUGCAGAAAGGGAAAAAAAGAGUAAGUCAGGUGUUAGUCAUGAUUCUGGUCACUGAAAUGGAAUAUUAUUUUGCUACGACUAAAAAUCAGACCACUGUUGUUAUAGAUAUUAGUGAUUUGUAUCACUCAACAGUGUGAAAAUUCAGGUCUCUCUUUAGGUAAAACACAGAUUUGCAAAUGAAAUUUAAGGUGGUUAAGUAGCAGAGAACAGGAAACUUGAAAGUCAACUGCUGUGUCUUUCAACAUCUUGAUCACAUUUGAGAGUGGAUCCGCAGCUUUUACUGACAGUAGUGAGCAAAGUAUUUUGCGCGAUUUAGGCAGCCAGCAGUGUUUAAAAACCACCUGAAGUUGCUAAUAUUCCCCUUGUUACUACACAAUAUGGUCUCUGCAAGGGAAGGAUGUGUCACUCUCCUUGCUCUGGUGCUAGGGAAAGUGAGGCACAGCCAAAUGAAAAACCUUACAUGGCUGAGCCCAGGUGUAAAAUUCCAUCUGUGCAACAGCCAGUGCAACCCUAAAUGCUGUCUGUGUCCAGGGUCCUGACACAGCCCACAGCCUUACACAACCUUCCCACAAAGACCACUUGUUUCCACUGGCAUUACAUCAUCUUUUCCAUUGGCAUGACUGAGUAACAAAUGCCCACAUACAUGCAUCUAGAGCUAACUCUUAAUGGAUCCAAAGUUAUCUUACCACACUGUACACGACUAACCCCUUUUUAAAUAGAAUACUUUACACAUAUGCAGGUAUACUGAUUUGAUUAUUCUGCAACUUGUUCAUAAUACUUAAAUGGUAGACAAAAAAAGUAUCUGAACAGCUGUAUGAGGAGCAUCAUUUUGCCUCGAUACAAUACCAGAAUGUGACAUCAAAAUCAGCAAUAAAUAAAGAUCAAAAAUACAUUGUAUAUUUGUUCCAUGAGUUAAAAUGCCAUGCUUUAUCUCACAGGAAGAAAAAUAAGUAUCCAAAACAUCCUGAAAAAGGUUCCCCAUACUAACCUCUAAAUAUGAAGACAAGGACCAAUGUCAGACAUACUUCAUACAGUGCUUAAAAGACUUACUGCUUCUGAAGCAGGACUUCUGCACAAUGUGGUUAUGCUACACUUGAGUAACAGAUGCUUACAAAACUUCAUAUGAAACAAAUACUGAAAACUCUCAAAGAACUAAUCAUACCUAAAAAGGUCAGCGGUGUAGAAAUGGUGUAGACUAACACCACUACACAUUUCUACAACUGAAAAUACGCUCUUGUCCCAAACUAAGCAAAGCAAACAAUUAUCUACUUGGAGGAAUGCUACUAAAAGAUACAACACACAAGGGGGUUCAAGCUGCAGCUUUGCCCUGGAAAAAAAAAAAUAUAGUAGCACCAAAAGCAAUUGCUUUUUAGAAAAUAAACAUGUUGCAAGUCUUCACAGGGUGCUUCUCUUGAUGAAAUAUUAAACUCAGCUCCCACUGAACACAACUUUUCUAGAUACUGUCAGGUUUCAUUCCCAGUAAAUCUUUCAAGAUGCAAAUAUUUCAUGCAAAUCUUAGCAUCAAAUCUGUGUAGUUUAACCUGUGAAAUUAUCUGCUAUCCACUGUGGUCUUUUAUAUGGAAUGAAAUUUUCAUGAAAAUGAACAGUAGGCUUUAAAAAUUAGAUUAUUUGAAAACAAAAGCAAAAACAAAAUAACAACCAGAAAAACAACAACAUUAUUCCUUUUUCCUAUGUGGCAGGAGCUAAAGAAAGAAAUCAUUUUGCAAGACGGAAAAGAAAGUGAGUAAAGGUGCUUAAGUGUUUCAUCAGUGGGCUCUCACUGUCAAGGAGUUUGAGGGGAAAUGUGUUUCGACUAAUAUUUAACAGUGGAGUCUAUAAAACUUCUUUCCUGAAUGAAGAAACUGUGAACCAAAGUUCCGCUGGCUUUAUUGAGGCAUAUAGAAAUGGAUACUAUCAGGACAUUUAAAAAUAGAGAUAUACAGAUUUAAAAAAAUAUCAAAGUGCUAAUGACAGCAUGCAAAUGCAUAGCUCUUUCUGUUCCUAUUUCUUGAAAUAAGUACGUUGUAUUUGUAGACACUCUCACUAUGGCGUCGCCAAAUGACAUCUACCCAAAUAAUAAGCAUCCCACUUUAUUUUCCACUUGAAUACUCAGAGGGACCUUUCAGAUAUAAAUAAAUAUGAUCUUAAUGUAUGAUUGCCAGUAUUUGAUAUUUUAUAAAAAAAAACAUACAACUGCUUGUCUUCACAUCUGUAAUAUAGGUAGCCCCAGCCAUGCCAAGGGCAUAGGCAUAAGGAGCUGCUUCUUGUCAGGAGAGCAGCUUGCUCCUAAACACUGCUUUUUUGAGACGGUGCUUCUUAAGCAAGCAGAAGCAAUCUGGCGACUCAAUCAAUCAUGAUUUAUACAUGACGCUCCUUUUGUCCCCUUUGUGGGAAGUCCCUUGCUCACAUUAGUGCUGUAGCACUCUGUUAACAAGACUUUAUGACAUGUGAAGGCAUUUACUAUUGUAAGUGUAAUUAUUCAAAUAGAUUCAUACUUGCUUUUCUGAAAAUUUAAGCAAAUAUAAGUAUUUUUCCUCAUAUAUGUGAACAUUUGUUUAUAUCUUACUGUUGGAAAGAUGGGAUUGAGCUGUAAAUAUAUAUAUAUAUAUUAUAUUAUGUAAAUAUAUACACACAAAUAAUGUUGGACUUUUGUUAUUGUUAGUAAGGUACUAUUAGAUAGAGGCCACUAGAAUAAUCUUUAGAGAAAAAAAAAAAAAAA